rnacentral:rRNA from 1 species
AGCGAACGCUGGCGGCAGGCCUAACACAUGCAAGUCGAACGAAGUCUUCGGACUUAGUGGCGGACGGGUGAGUAACACGUGGGAACGUGCCUUUAGGUUCGGAAUAACUCAGGGAAACUUGUGCUAAUACCGAAUGUGCCCUUCGGGGGAAGAUUUAUCGCCUUUAGAGCGGCCCGCGUCUGAUUAGCGAGUUGGUGGGGUAAUGGCCCACCAAGGCUACGAUCAGUAGCUGGUCUGAGGGGAUGACCAGCCACAUUGGGACUGAGACACGGCCCAAACUCCCACGGGAGGCAGCAGUGGGGAAUCUUGCGCAAUGGGCGAAAGCCUGACGCAGCCAUGCCGCGUGGAUGAUGAAGGUCUUAGGAUUGUAAAAUCCUUUCACCGGUGAAGAUAAUGACUGUAGCCGGAGAAGAAGCCCCGGCUAACUUCGUGCCAGCAGCCGCAGUAACAC